GAAGGUAUAGCUCAAGUGGUAGAGGGCAUGCUUAGCAUGCACCAGGUCCUGGGUUCAAUCCCCAGUACCUCCU
rnacentral:tRNA from 1 species